rnacentral:lncRNA from 1 species
GACCAUGGUCGCUUCGUGGAGUGUAUCGGCUAGUUUGACACUAUAAAAUGAAUAAACCAAACAAAACACACAACACAUAAGAAACAAGCAAUCAAAUAGUCAAAAGUCCGAAAUAGUGUCCAGUCCAUUUAUUACAGUCCAAAAUAAAAGAUACUGAAAUAAACCUACUCUAACCUACACUAGUCCUAAACUAUGCUCUACCCGAUGCCUCGGGCCUUGAUCACGAACGUCCUUCGCAUACAAGAUACUUCGGGGCAUACCCAGGUGAAUAAGUACAAAUGGCCUCGGGGCAUUCCCGGCUAAAUGAAUACAUUUACAAUUUCAAGCGACAAAGUGAAACAAUCUCAAGCACAAUCAUUCAAUCAUUCCACAAUCGUUAAUUUCUACAAUUUGCCUAUCCAACUUAGUAUUUGCCGACCCAUUUGACGGCCUAAUCAUGAUAUUGUCAUGUUAAACAACAUUCAAUGUCCAUUUCAAAUCAAUCAACGAUUCAAUGAAUUAAAUUAAUUAAUAUUCACCCUUUUUAUUAUUUUUUCAAUUCCCGACCCAACUUGAAUUCUAAGUAAUGGUUCGAACAUAACAAUUCACGAUUAAUAUUUUUUAACCAUCCAUAAUCAAUAUAAUAUAACAUUUAUCAUUCACAUCACGCAUAAAAUAAGAGAAAGCUGAGAUGAUAAAUAUCAAUCACACAUAAAAAUAUAGAAUUAACUAAGAAUAAGAAUUAAGAUUAAGAGAUGGACCUUAAAUUGGGGCUUUCGAGCUAUGAGUAUUAUUUGAUCACACUUUUGACUUCAAACCGAGCAGUUGACCGGAGCUCACGAACAGGACCUCAUCAGAACCUCAAAUUGGAAUAUGUGAAUCCGAAAUCUUCAAUCCAAACUUGAUUUGUAACUAAACCCACAAUCGUUUUUCUAAUUUAUUUUGGCGCUAGGCUGACUGAUUGUGUUGUUUCCCGACGAGAAUCAAAGAGAAUGGAGUUGUUCUUGUUUUCCGAUGGAUAUGGGUCGUUUCCAGCGAGGAUCUUGGUCACCGAUUUUAAUGGGUUUUUUGACUGGAUCUAGUUUGAGGAGUUUUCCUGCCAGACUCCGGUGAGCUUCACUAGCGAUUCAAGCAGUGAUGAAAGCUAUAAUUCCGACGAGAGUGUCACCGAAAAAUUAAGGACUGACCUAUUUUCUCUAAAUUUCUCACUGUCUCUCUCACCUGAUCUCCCCUCUCUCAUUUUCUCUCUCUAUCUUACUGGUUUUGUGCGUCAGGGUAUGUCUAUAAUAGUGUGUGGUACCAGUUGAUGUACGUGUGUAUUGUAUUAUGUGUGUAGAGAGUAUCUCCUUGUGAAUGUGUGCUUAAUCCAUGGAAAUAAAGGAGAUGUAUAUGUGUGUUCGUUUUUGUGUGUGUGAAUUUUGUUGAGAGAUAUAUUAUGUGUGAUUCCCUGAGAGUUAUGUGUGACUGCAACGCCCCAAGAGUACACCCUAGAUGCCACACGGUGCUAGAAACCACAAGUGAUCCCAGUCUAACUCAUGAUUGACAUACUAUUAAGCAACUAAAUUAUAACAUAAUAAAUAGCUAUUCUGCUUUGUGGAAAUAUAAUCAUGACAAAAUCUGAGAGAAAUUAUAUUACUAAUACACUUUUCUAUCUGAUAGAAACUGAGGAGAGAACUGAAAUUACAUGAUUGACUUUGACUGACAUCUAUGAAGCCUCUACUAUACUGAAUAUAGUAGAUGGGACAUGCCUCCAACUACCCCUAAUCAAUACAUAUGAAAAAUAAAUGAACUGUACAUGAACUAAAAUUGUCUGUAGUUUCUGAAAUAAGAGAACUCAUCACUUGUUGGCUGAAAAUUGCAACUGUCUGAUCAUGAUGUGCGGGAUACAAAUGGUACCUACAUUAUGAAAUAAUGUAGCCACACAGACAUAUAUGUGGAUCAACACUUCUAGAAUGUACUGUGUAUGCAGGGGUGAAUGCAAUAAGUAAAACAACUUUUAUACGUAAUCUUAGAACGUGCAUGCUAAGUGUAAGUAGACUCAAAAAUAGGCUGGAAUAAACUAAAAGCUGAAAUAUCUUAAAAGCAUGAGCAACAAACAUAAUCUAGUAAGCUGGUGAAUCUCUACACUUAGUUUAUGUAAAACUUUACUUUUUUAUAAUGUAAGUAGAACUGAAGCUGGGAUACGGUAAAAGAUGGAUACAUAAACCUAUAUAUUGAGUAGCUGAUAUAUGAAUAUGGACUGCUGAUACUUGUACACUGAAUAGAUAAUGACUGAAUACUGAUCACGUAAUACUGAACUAUAGUUAGUCUAAAUAACUGGGCUGAAAUUGUAGAGUACUAUGCUUAUGAGGUAAGGACUAUCAAAACAACAUGAGAUAACUGAGCAUGCAUGCGUGAAAACUGUAAUAUAUGAGAAUGAAAGAGUAAGUGUAUAUCUGUUAUGGUACUGAGAUAAAAGGACCAAGGUGUCAAGCCUAAACUGACGGGUGACCCCUGAGAGGUAGUCAAGCCUAAAUUGACGGGUGACUCCUCGAAUCCUACAUUGGAUACGUAGUUCUAGAAUACAGGGACCGCUACUAAUGACUCUGCCUAACUGAUGGGGAAGCCGCCAUCCCUGUACUCACUCGGUACUAAAUCCUACUCUCAACUGAACUGACUCGAGAUACUGAACUGUUCUUAGUUUAACUGAUUAUGAUAACUGACUGAACUGAUCAUGCUCAUGACAUGUCUGAAAACCAUUCUGAAAAUACUGAAACUAAGUAAACAACUAAGUUUUUGGGUAUUCAUAACCCCCAGGACUCGAUAGCAAUAGCGACAGGGAUAUACUAAAGCUUCGAAACCAUAAUAAGAAAGAAUUAUUUAAAGAAACCCAUCACUUGGAUAUUUUAUCAAACACAUGGAGAUUAGUACUUUAACAUAGGACAAUCCAUCAAACACACGGGGAUCAUGAACUAGAACAUAGUAAUAUCUCAAACAUGGGAGCAUAACAUGAUUGCAUAACUAAAAUCAUGAAUCGGGGAAUUUACAUGAAAUUAGUUUGAAAUUGGACAUGGGCGUAUCAUCAAAACAUAUAAAGAUCACAGCUUGAACGUAAGAAUGUCUUAAACAUGAGAGAACAAUAGAGUUACACGGCAAAAUUCAUAACUUGGGGAUUCAUCUUGAAAUUGAUUGAAAAUGAUAUGGGGAUUUCAUCAAAUAUGUGGAAGUCAUGAAUUUACAACAUGGGAAUAUUGCUAAACAUCAUGAAUUUAGGAUCUAUCAUGGGAUUUACUUGAAUAAAACAUGAGAAACUCAAAUUCAUAGCAUGAGGAAUUCAAAAUCUUGCAUAGAAUCAUACAUGGGCUGAAUUGAAACAAAAAUACCAUGAAAACAUGAACUUCAAUCUUUCUUGAACAUUCAAAAUACCAUAAUAAUGGAAAAUUCAUUCUUUACUUAAACGAAAAGGGUUUUGGGGUUCCAUAAGUGAAACAGGACCCAUGGAUGAACUCCUACAUACCUUAAAACUUUAAAUCUUGAAGAAGAAAUAAAAUCUUGGAAGUUUUCUUGAAUUGAGAAACUUGAUUCUUGAUGGUUCUUGAAGAGGAGAAUUGAAUAAUUUUCUUGGGAUUAGAUUAGGGUUUCUUGGAGAGAAAAGGGAAGGAGAAUGGGAAAAUUAUGCCCUAAAUGAUAUAUUAACUCGUGUAUAUACGACUUGUCUUGAGGAAAAAAAACUUAACUGUCCCUUAGAUAUUUAAAUUAGUGAUCGGAUCUCAAUUCUACACCUUACCGCGAUUCGGUACCAUCACGGCAGCUUACUGCCUCACACGAAAAAUGCUAUAACUUUUCACUCGAGUAUCAAAUUAAGACAAAAUUGGUAUCAUUGGAAAACUGAUUCAAUUAUCUACAAUUUGGUGGGUCUUUAGUUGAAAAAUUAUACAUACAUUAAAAGUUAUAUAUUUUUGAAGUUGACCUUUGUAGAAUCAAACCCCAAACUUUGGACUAAUGUAAGGUUCUUAGCUCAACUUAGCUCUAAGUGAUUUCUAGGAACAUUAUUCACCUAAUAAUCACUUCACACACUAGGAUAAACAUCAUGACAUAUGAAUUUUAAAUUAUGGAUCAAUAACAUGACAAAUACACCUUCAUCGCGAUGCAGUGGAAUCGCGUUGAGCUUCUGAAAUUCGUUAGUUAAAGGACGAGGGUGGUUUAGGGGAUUGACAUGAUCUGAGCUUAUUGCGUUGAUCCACUGGAAAUAGACGAGUGCAAUUUUACACCUUGGUGCGAUAUGGCGCCAUUGCGGUGCUUCACUGAAAAAAGAACAAGUGCGAUUUUGCACUUCACCGCGAUGCAGUGCGAUCAUAGUGAGCCACUAGAAAUAUAAUCCAAACACCAUUCAAACCUUUUCCGAAAAUUUUGAAACUUCCUUGAGACAUGCUCCUUGCACCCCUGAACAUGAAUCAACUAAAAAACCAUCAUCUCAAAGCCCGAAAGAUCCACUUAAAAAUCCACGAAGUUAAGGAGUCAAAUAUAUGACUAAGUCUCCAUCACAUAGUGAAAUUUUCAUGUUCUAAGAUUCUUAUGUAUGCACUUGGAGCUGAACUAAACUAAGGAUAAUACGAAGUAUUAUAGUAAGUGUGUGUAUAUAUUGGUGUAUUGUAGUGUUAUGUGUUCUGUUCUCUAUAUUCGAUGGUGAGGGUGUGUGUAUCAAUUAUGUGAGAGGCGUAUGUGUGGGUGUAUAAGAAUGAAGUUGUAUGAGAAACAUAAAUUGGGGUAGGGUGCACAUAGUAGGGGGUAUGUAGAGGUAGGGGGUAUAGGUUGUUAUUUUGUUCAGGGUGAGGUGUCCCAAGUUGUUAAGAAUUUAUUGGAUUUGUUAUUGUGUGAAACUUAUCACAUAGGUGAAGGUAUAUGCAUGGUAAGAUGGAGUAAAAAUGGUAAAAAAAGAUUUUGGGGAGGGACAAAAUUAUAUGUCUACAAAGAAGUAGACAAAAUUUUAACCCAACUAUUAUUUAAAAAAAAGGAUAGAGUACCACCGUGUUUUGAUUUAGGACAUCCUACCUACUAAAGUUAUGAGAGAAUCAAGUCACAGGUAUCUUAAAGGUCUAGAAGGAGAAGAACUAUACCUAGUAGGAGAGUCGAGUGAGAUGCCAUCGAGGUUCCGGUCAGCGGCUCUGUCAUUACAUCAAAAAUGAAAAUUACAAGUUAAAAACAUAAAUAAAAUUACAAAAGUCCUAUUUAUACAUCUUUUCUUGGCUCUUGACUUGCUAUUUCAUCACCUUAUUCUCCAGGCAGUUCCUGACUUGCAAUAUCCUUACUCUAUUCUCCGGGCGAGCUCCUGACUUACAAUUUCAUCACCUUGUUGCUUGGAUUUCAAUUUCUUCACUCUGUUCUCUAGGCGGGAUCCUGACUUGCCAUUUCUUCAAUAUGUUAACUUUCAAUUUCUUCACCUUGUUGCUUGACUUUCAACUUCUUCACCUUGUUGCUUGACAUUCCAUUUAUUCACCUUAUUCUCCUGGUAGGCUCUUGAAAUCACAUUAAAACUAUAAAGAAAAUUAUCUCAAACAAAGGUUAUGAUAGAAAUCUCACUUUUAAAAAAUAAAGUCUCAGUUUUCAAGAGAGUCUUAAAUGACGCUUUCAAUAACAUGAAUUGAAUUUUUUUCCCUAGUUUAUCAUCCAAAAACUUUUGCGAAUGUCAAAUCCAAUCGUAACUACUUGCAUGCUGCAAUGAUGAAUCAAGACUCUGACCAAGAAAUGCAUCUCUUGAGAGUAAAAUUAAAUGACCAAGACUAGGAAAUGCGUCUUCUAAGAAUUAAAGUGAGGAAUUCCGACUAGAAAGUGUAUCUUCUAGAGAUAAAAGUUUAAGUUAGGAAGUGUGUCACCUGACAAAUGAAAACUCACAAGGAAGUGCAUCUCUUAAGGGGUUGCUUCUAGGAGUGAAGGUUCAAUUUAGAAAGGGCAUCACCUGAUAAAAAAAAUCUGAAUUGCUCAGAUAAGGAGGUGCAUCUCCUAGGGAUUGCAUGGAAGAGACUAGAAAGUGCAUCUUCUAGGAGUAAAGGCUUAAGUGAGGAAAUGUGUCACCUAGAAAACCAAACUUGAACUACCCUGACAAGAAAGUGUGUCUCCUAAGGGUUAAGUGGAAUUACUCGACUAGAAAAUGCAAUUUCUAGGAGUAAAUGCUUAAGUUAGGAAGUGAACCACUUUACAAGGGAAACUCGAAUUACCUGACAAGAAAGUGUGUAUCCUACGGGUUAACUACUCAACUAAAAAGUACAUUUUCUAGGAGUAAAGACUUGAGUUAGAAAGUGAAUUACCUGGCAAGUGAAACUUAAAUACCUACCAAUGAAGUGUGUCUCCUAAGGGUCAAGUAGAAUGACUCGACUAGAAAGUGAAUUUUCUAGGAGUCAAGACUUAAGUUAGGAAGUGCAUCACCUAACAAGUAAAAUUUGAAUUACCUUACAAAUGCCACUUGAAUUAACUAAGAAAAUGCGUCUCCUUACAAAUACUACUUAAUUUAUCCAGAGAAGAAAAUAUGUCCCCUAAAUAUUAAAUGGAAGGACUCAACUAGAAAGUGUGACUUCUAGGAGUGCAGGUUCAAUUUAGAAAGUGCAUCACCUAAUAAAUGAACCUGAAUUACCCGGACAAGGAAGUGUAUCUCCUGGAGAUAUUGAAUUAUGAGUUUUACCAUAAUUUCAAUUACCAAACCUAUGUAGCAAUAUUGCCUCUUGUAUUUGUAGAAGUGAGAAAUUACGACCUUUAAUGUUUAGGCUUUGAAAUUCUUGAUUUGUAGGUAACAUGUGUUCCUAUUUCAUACAAAGAAAACUUGUGAGUUUAGGAACAUGGUAGCUGGUUUGUGGCUUUAGCUUUUGCAGCAAUCAUUUUUGCCCUCAUCACAUUUAAUCUUGCUUCCAACCAUUAGCAUAUGUCAUUGACUUGCUGCAUCAUUGACCUAAAUUCAGAUUAUUAAGAGUGUUUCUAAAAAAAACAUGGUAUCUCUUCUUUCCCAUGCUCCUUUGAACCUUGGUAUUUCCCUAAGUUCUCAAACUUGUCUUUUGACAAUACUUUCUGCAUGCCUUAUUUCGUCUCACAAUCAUGUCUCUUUCAUGUGCUGACCUUUUGUUUAGCUUUGUACAAUUGGCAAAGUUGAUAGCUAGUUUUGAAAUCUUUUCUCACUUGCUUUGACAUUGAUUUGACUUAAAGACACAACAAAAAUGACUUUCUUUGAAUAUCUGACUCAAGAAAACACAAAUAAAAAUGUAAAGAAGAAAUAACAGACAAUGAAUGUCCAUAUUGAAACAGAGUAAAGCAAAAUUUAUCUAAAAACGACAGUCAAUUCUAAUGAUUAUGCCAUGCAUUUUUAAAUUAAGCUGCCUGAUCUUUCCACUCAAGUUUUCUACCAAUUGUUCUUGAGUUAAUGACACAAAAACUAUGUUACUUUCUUGGGCCAAUUAAAUUUAGUGACAUUAUUCGGCUAGUGGGGCCUUAGAUGGUUUUUUCCAACAAGCCUCUCUCAUUUUUUCUCACCCUUGUCUUACGAUGCCCAUGAGGGUUUUCACUAAUAAUACUCUCUUAUUUUUAUUUCUCUCAACUUAAAAUCUUUUUAUGGUGCCCGUGAGGGUUUUCACCUAUAAGACUCUUUCAUUUUUAUUUCUCCACUAAUUCCUUAUGACGAGGAAGACAAUAGUACCCAAAAUGCAUCAUCAUAUCCAUUGCAUGCUUAGCCUUAACAUUCUCAAAGAUUUAUCUGAAGGUCUUUCUGUGGUUGUAACUUUAUUUUUGGAUAGGAUUAAAAAAAAAGGAUGACAUGAGGCCCAAACGACACUUGAAGUGGGGUAGAACUUACAUUUUUUGGAAUUGACUCAAACAACAAAGAUUAGCUCGUGCCCCAUUUUUUUUGACUGAGCAAUUCUAAAUUAUUUAUUUGGUUUGAUCGUACCCAAGUAGGGCUGCCUACGUAUCUCACCCCCGAGAGAGUAGAAUCAUGUCACAUGUAGUUCCAACAAUUUGUUCUUUUGCUUGAUUCUGAUUUCUUAUUUUUUUUUCUUUUAUUGACUCUUUUUUGGACCUUUUCUAACUUUAUUUUUCUUGACGCUCUUUUUUUUUUUUUUGGACAUAUUUUGUUUUUUUUUCUUUUUGAAACUUUUCUGACUCUAUUAUUUUGCUCUAUACCUUUUCUUUUGAACUUUGCUGACUCUAUCUUAAUUCCUAAAGAGGGGUAUGGAAGAAAAUAGAACUAAAGCUCAAAUGAGGUAAACAAAGGAUAACACAAUAUUUGAAUGGAAGAAUGAAAUACCUUCGUCAUAUCAAUUCUUGAAAAUGCAACUACAUAUCAUGUAAUAUGACAGUGAAAGAUAAAGUUCAUUUGUGAUAUUUUUUACAGCACUAACUUUAACUGAGCAUGUGCGUCACUAUUUUUUCUGCGCUUUGUCUAGCAUACAACUUUACCUUUGUUGUACAUACCUUACAUCGAAUGACUCAUGAUUUUGUGGAGCUGAUUAUCUUUUGGUUUCUCUUGAUAUAGGAUUGUGCAUCCACUUCUUGACCUAAUUAAGAUAUGUAUUUCAAUUGAUGACCAUGUUAUUCUUGUGAUUCUUACCUUAAUUUAAAAAAAAGGCUUCAACUUGAUCACCAAAUGUCUCACACUCUACCUAUUUUAUCAGAUGCUCUUUUCUAAAUGAAACAUUCUAAUUCAAAGUUCAUGCUUAAACUAAAUUUUAAGAUCUAGUUGAAAAUUCUGCCAGCAUUCAUAUCACUAGAACCAACAUAAAAUAUACUGUGUAAAAAAAACAAACAAACAACACAUAUUAAACACAGGAAAAAAAGGUACACUCCAUUUAGUUGAAAUAAAAGAUAGUAGGGUUUGAACAUAGAUGAAAAAUGGACAAAAUAGGAUAGAUCCUGAACUACAACCCUAAAAUAAUUCAGAUAACAAAAAAAAAAGAAAACAAGCUACAGAAACCUUUCUUUGUAAGGAGAGGAGUGACUUUUCAAUUGCUGAGCAUAAUAUCUUAGCCAUUGGUUUGUACAUCAGCAUGACUAGAGCUUUCACCACUGUUAAUUUUCUGUACCAUAAUCAAUUUAUCUUGAAUCAUCUUUUCUAUUUCUUUUUUCAAAGCACGACAAUCUUCAAUACUAUAACCCUGAACAUUAAAAUGACAUACACAUCGUACAUUAGGAUCAAAACUUCUUAAAUACGGGUCAUGAGUAUACCCAAGGAAAUGAAUAAUCAUGCCCUGCUGUACCAAUCUCUAGAAUAAACUGGCAUAUGACUCUCUAAUUGGUGUGAAGCUAUCCCUCGACUUCUGACUCAUUUCAUUAUUUAACUUGAUUGAAAAUCAUGCCUAGAAGGGCUUUGGUAUAUUUAUGGAGUUAGAGGAUAACUCUGAAGAGUUGGUGUGUGCCAUUGUGGGUAAGAUGUGGGUUGAACAUGUGGUUGUGCAUUAUAUACUGGAUAUGGAGGUGGGGAAUAAAGUAUAAUGGAUUUUGGGAGUGAUUAUGUGGAGCUUGGGCAUGAACUUGGGCUUGAGCCUGAGAGUAAUGACGACAUAGUCUUCUUGAUCGUGCCCAUUAUCCAAUUAAAAUAACAGAUGCAUCUUUCUUAUUCUUUUUCCCUCUAACACUUUCUAAACCCUUUUGAAUUGCUUGAGUAGUCUCUUUCAAUGUUGCAAAACUCUCAAUGCGCCCAGUCUUAAUUCUAUCUUCUAUCAUCUCUUCUAUUUUGAGGACCUCAAUAAAUGACUUGCCUAAUGCAGGUAACAAGUGUUGAUAAUAUGUUUCAUUUUGUGCUUGAAUAAACACCUCCACUAUCUUACUUUUUUACAUUGGCGGUUUCACCCUAGCAACUUGUUCACGCCAUCUAAUCACAUUCUCCCUGAAAUUUUCUAUAAUCUUAUUCUUCAUAUUAGUUAGGGAUUUCUCAUCAAGAAUCAACUCCACAUUAUAUUUGAAUUAUUGCACGAAUUCAUUAUCUAGGUCAUCCCAACUAUUUCACUUAUCUAUGUCUUUGUCAACAAACUAUUUUGAAGCUAGACCUGAAAGUCUCACCGAAAUAAGCCAUGAGUAAUUCUUCCUUCCCUCCAACGCCUCUUAGUUAGUUAUAAUAAUAUAUCAAAUGUGCUACGAGAUCACCAUGUCCAUCAUACUUUUCAAAAUUCGGCAUUUUAAAACCAGAAGGAAGGUUAACACAUGGAAACAUGCACAGAUUUUUAUAUGAGAUACUUUUAUAACCCCUAAGUCUUUACAAGUUCUUCACAGCCAGUUCCAAACUUCUCAAUUUUUCUGGUCAUUUUCUCUUGUUCUUCUGUCAUAACAGACUUCUUAGUGUUAAGAAGAAAUUCAGGCAGGUGAAUAAAGCCGUUAGGACCAGUCAACUUAAAAGUAGGGUCGGGAGCGUAAUGCUAAGCAGCAAAAAUAUUCAACACAGGCUCUCUUAUAGAGUAGGGAGGGCACAACCGUUGGAUAGACAUUAAAAGCAUAAACUUUAGGUGGGGGUGGCACCACAAAAACAUGAAUAGCAGGUGGAUCCGAGUAUGUGGAGGUUCUAUAUUGAGGAGUGAGGAAAUGAAUAUUAGAAGUGUUUGGAUAUUGUUGCCCCGGAGUAGAUCCUGAUGCAUAUUAUAGCGUGUCAACAAAAUAGGGAAUGGUACAUAUGACACUGGAGGCAGGCUAGAAAGAUAUUCUAUAUUAUUAGUGGGAAAUAGAGAAGGCAGUAACCCAUUGGCCCAAGCUCGAUGCAUAUUUUUAAUUUGCUGCCUUAAUUUUCGAAUCUUUUCAUUAGCUCCUAAAUUUUUAUUGUACGAACUCUCCAUAUGAUUAGUGACAACAACCUCGGUAUCCUUGUUUGUCAUAACUUUCUCUUUGGCUUGGUGCAAUAUGGAGGACCAACAAAAUGCCACAAACCAACCACCUUAAACUAACUGAACAAAGGAUAACAAAAUGUGUUAAAGUUCAAUAUUUCUUCAAAUCUUUGUCUUUCUUUUAGAAAAGAUCACCGAACCUCAUCCCAGUAAGAGGAGAAUCAGGUUUGCAUAGUUCAUGAAGUUUUGGCACAACAUGACCAAUCAAACUCUCUUUCUUUAUCUUUUUUUUUCUUGAAACUUUAUGAAGAAAAAAAAAACAAAUUGUCAAAAGAAUUAACGAAAAUCUUUUUGAAUUUUUUUAGCUUUAAAAUCCCUAUACAAAUAAAACUUAUGAUUACCCAAAAAAAUCUUUUUGGAUUUUUUAUUUGAAUUUCAUAUGAAAAUGAAACUUGAAACUAUUAAAGGAAAAUCUUUUUGUAGUUUUCUUUAAAAGAUGUAUAUGAAACACCUACUCUAAUUGAAGAGUGAAGAAAAUCUUUUUGAAUUUCUUAAAUAAGAUCACCGAACCCACGAAGGGCAGCCUACGUAUCUCACUCCUGAGAGAGGAGAAUCAGGUGUGUGUAAUUUGUACAAAUUAGAAAAUUAAGAAUUAAAUAACAAACUAAACCUUGACUUAAGAUAUAGGACCAAAGACAACCAAUGGAAAAUGUCAAUAAAAUCUUUUUUUGGGUUAUAUAUUUGACACUUCACAUAAAAAAUAACACCAACAACUACAAACAAAAAAUCUUUUUGGUAUUUUUGUUAUAUGAAAUGUACAAAACUUCUACCAUCUUUUUUGAAAAUUUUGAAUUAUGAAUGCUUGGUAAAUAGAACAAAAGAAAAUUAUUUUGACAUUUUUGCUUUUGAAAGAUGAGUGUAAAAGGUAAAAAUCUUUUUGAAUUUUAAGAUUGCGGGAAACAAAAGUCAUAAAGAACUAUAAAAACUACAAAACUCUCUACUCACUUUUUUUCCCUUUUUCAAAGGCAUAAACACACGAUUACCUCAAAUCAGUCCGUCAAAUGACCCUAUUACCCUCAAAGAUGCAACAAUUAGCAUAUAGGAAUGCUUUAGAGGUGAGUCUCCUACAAAGGACCAAAUGGGUCCUACUAGGUCUCAAUAUGAUGCAGAUUAGCAUGAUCUAAAGACUAACCUAGGCUAGGGUCCACUAACAAGGUUGUUUGGGGGAAUAUAUGGUCGAUAGUGGCUGCGAUUGCUUUCCACCUACUCCAUACAUACGACGGCUCCCCUCCUAAAAUAGGGGUGAAUCAACUAGAGUUUGUGUACACGACAUGUACUCCCGAACUUAUUGCGAAAGAAAUGACUUAGGAUAAUAUAUAGAUGAUGCUAGACAUAUAGCGAUAACACAUAAAAAAAACUGUAAAUAAAGAGCACGUAGGCAUCAAACACUGAUAUAACAAUAAUAGAAACAAAAUAUUUAUACACCUAUAGUAUCAAACUAAGCUGAUACAUCUAAAAAAUAAGCUCGAAUUCUGAAAAAUUUCCAGCUGAGUCGCUAGAGCUGUCACACCCUUUUUUACGAAAAAAUUAUAUUGAGUUCAAAAAAGAUUUUAUUAUUAAGUGACAAACGAAAAUAAUUUAUUUUAAAAAAAUAUUUACAUUCAAACUUAGAGUCGCCACUGACAUAAAUCUGGUGUGCCAAGUCACCUUUUAAAAUCCUUUUUCAAAAUAAUUUUGACUCUUUCAAAACUGGUCCAUGAAUAGAGAUUUCAGUUUGGAAUUUCUGUUGACCGAGGGAAAGAUGUUAGGCACCCCUCGAUCUCGUGGUUCAACCACAGUCGCUUCGUAGAGUAUAUCGGCUAGUUCGAUACUAUAAAAUGUAUAAACCAAACAAAACACACAGCACACAAGAAACACACAAUCAAAUAGUCAAAAGUCCAAAAUAGUGUCUAGUCCAAUUAUUACAGUCUGAAAUAAAAGAUACUAAAAUAAACCUACGCUAACCUAUACUAUUACUUACUAUGCUCUACCCAAUGCCUCGGGCUUUGAUCGCGAAUGUCCUUCGCGUACAUGAUACUUGGGGGCAUACCUAGGUGAAUUAGUACAAAUGACCCCAGGGCAUUCUAGGCUAAAUGAAUAGAUUUCCAUUUUCAAGUGACAAAGUGAAACAAUCUCAAGCACAAACAUUCAAUCAUUCCACAAUCAUAAAUUUCUACAAUUUACCUACCCAACUUAGUAUUUGCCUACCAAUUUGACGGCCUAAUCAUGAUACUAUUGUGUUCAACAACAUUCAAUGUCCAUUUCAAACUGUUGUGUUCUACAACAUUCAAUGUCCAUUUCAAACCAAUCAACGAUUCAAUGAAUUAAAUUAAUCAAUAUUCACCCUUUUUUAUUAAUUUU